rnacentral:rRNA from 1 species
UUGCCUACGGGAGGCAGCAGUGGGGAAUAUUGCACAAUGGGGGAAACCCUGAUGCAGCAACGCCGCGUGAGUGAAGAAGUAUUUCGGUAUGUAAAGCUCUAUCAGCAGGGAAGAAGAUGACGGUACCUGACCAAGAAGCCCCGGCUAACUACGUGCCAGCAGCCGCGGUAAUACGGAGGGGGCGAGCGUUAAUCGGAAUUACUGGGCGUAAAGCGCUCGUAGGCGGUAUGUCAAGUCAAGGGUGAAAUCCCCGCGCUCAACGUGGGAACUGCCUUUGAAACUGGCAAACUGGAGUGUGUGAGAGG